UACGUAGGGUGCGAGCGUUAAUCGGAAUUACUGGGCGUAAAGCGUGCGCAGGAGGUUUUGUAAGCCAGAUGUGAAAUCCCCGGGCUUAACCUGGGAAUGGCAUUUGGGACUGCAAGGCUGGAGUGCGGCAGAGGAGACUGGAAUUCCUGGUGUAGCAGUGAAAUGCGUAGAUAUCAGGAGGAACACCGAUGGCGAAGGCAGGUCUCUGGGCUGACACUGACGCUCAUGCACGAAAGCGUGGGGAGCAAACAGG
rnacentral:rRNA from 1 species